rnacentral:rRNA from 1 species
AACGCUAGCUACAGGCUUAACACAUGCAAGUCGAGGGGCAGCAUGUUGGUUGCUUGCAACCAAUGAUGGCGACCGGCGCACGGGUGAGUAACGCGUAUCCAACCUUCCCCUUACUCGGGUCCAGCCCGUUGAAAGACGGAUUAAUCCCCGAUGUUCUCAUAUACUGGCAUCAGUUUAUGAGCAAAGAUUUAUCGGUAAGGGAUGGGGAUGCGUAUGAUUAGCUUGUUGGUGUGGUAACGGCUCACCAAGGCUACGAUCAUUAGGGGUUCUGAGAGGAAGGUCCCCCACACUGGAACUGAGACACGGUCCAGACUCCUACGGGAGGCAGCAGUGAGGAAUAUUGGUCAAUGGAGGCAACUCUGAACCAGCCAAGUAGCGUGCAGGAUGACGGCCCUAUGGGUUGUAAACUGCUUUUAUGCGGGGAUAAACGAGCCUACGUGUAGGUUUUUGCAGGUACCGCAUGAAUAAGGACCGGCUAAUUCCGUGCCAGCAGCCGCGGUAAUACGGAAGGUCCGGGCGUUAUCCGGAUUUAUUGGGUUUAAAGGGAGCGUAGGCGGCCUGUUAAGCGUGUUGUGAAAUGUGGGUGCUCAACAUCUGCACUGCAGCGCGAACUGGCGGGCUUGAGUGGGCUGAAAGUAUGCGGAAUUCGUGGUGUGGCGGUGAAAUGCUUAGAUAUCACGAAGAACUCCGAUUG